rnacentral:rRNA from 1 species
CCUACGGGAGGCAGCAGUGAGGAAUAUUGGUCAAUGGACGAGAGUCUGAACCAGCCAAGUAGCGUGAAGGAUGACUGCCCUAUGGGUUGUAAACUUCUUUUAUAUGGGAAUAAAAUGUUCCACGUGUGGGAUUUUGUAUGUACCAUAUGAAUAAGGAUCGGCUAACUCCGUGCCAGCAGCCGCGGUAAUACGGAGGAUCCGAGCGUUAUCCGGAUUUAUUGGGUUUAAAGGGGGCGUAGGUGGAUUGUUAAGUCAGUUGUGAAAGUUUGCGGCUCAACCGUAAAAUUGCAGUUGAAACUGGCAGUCUAGAGUACAGUAGAGGUAGGCGGAAUUCGUGGUGUAGCGGUGAAAUGCUUAGAUAUCACGAAGAACUCCGAUUGCGAAGGCAGCUCACUGGACUGCAACUGACACUGAGGCUCGAAAGUGUGGGUAUCAAACAGGAUUAGAGACCCUAGUAGUC